AGCAGCCGCGGUAAUUCCAGCUCCAAUAGCGUAUAUUAAAGUUGUUGCAGUUAAAAAGCUCGUAGUUGAAUUUCGGGAUCAAUUUGUUGGUCGUGCCUUGGUACGUACUUGGCAUUAUUGGCUUCUUCCUUCUGAGAAUCCUUGAUGUCACUAAUUUGGUGUCUUGGGGAAUCAGGACUGUUACCUUGAAAAAUUAGAGUGUUUAAAGCAGGCAUCCGCUUGAAUACAUUAGCAUGGAAUAAUGAAAUAGGACGUUCGAUUCUAUUUUGUUGGUUUCUAGGAUCGAUGUAAUGAUUAAUAGGGAUAGUUGGGGCAUUAGUAUUCAAUUGUCAGAGGUGAAAUUCUUGGAUUUAUUGAAGACUAACUACUGCGAAAGCAUUUGCCAAGGAUGUUUUCAUUAAUCAAGAACGAAGUUAGGGGAUCGAAGACGAUCAGAUACCGUCGUAGUCUUAACCA
rnacentral:rRNA from 1 species